GACGAACGCUGGCGGCGUGCCUAAUACAUGCAAGUCGAGCGGACGAAUCGAAAGCUUGCUUUUGAUUCGUUAGCGGCGGACGGGUGAGUAACACGUGGGCAACCUGCCCUGUAGACGGGGAUAACACCGAGAAAUCGGUGCUAAUACCGGAUAACACGAAAUGUCGCAUGACGUUUCGUUGAAAGACGGCGCAAGCUGUCGCUACAGGAUGGGCCCGCGGCGCAUUAGCUAGUUGGUGAGGUAACGGCUCACCAAGGCGACGAUGCGUAGCCGACCUGAGAGGGUGAUCGGCCACACUGGAACUGAGACACGGCCCAGACUCCUACGGGAGGCAGCAGUAAGGAAUCUUCCGCAAUGGACGAAAGUCUGACGGAGCAACGCCGCGUGAGCGAAGAAGGCCUUCGGGUCGUAAAGCUCUGUUGUUAGGGAAGAACAAGUAACGCAGUAACUGGCGUUACCGUGACGGUACCUAACGAGAAAGCCACGGCUAACUACGUG
rnacentral:rRNA from 1 species